ACAUCCCUUAUGUCUCCUGCAUUGGCAGGCGGGUUCUUUACCACUGGCGUCACCUGGGAAGCCCUGCAGCUAAAAAGAAUGUCCUUAAUUUAUUUUCCUUGUCUUCCAGAUGAAAAGGGGGUAUUGAGAGAAAAACAGCUGGGGGAAGGGAGGGGAGAGAGAAAAGCGAGGUCAAGUUUUUCUGAUGAGAGAUGAGCAUGCGCAGGGAGCCUGGAGGGUCAAAUCCACAUGGAAGGAGAUAUCAGAAGGCUGUUCAGGCAUCGUUUUUCUGCCCUAAAAGUUUCUUUUCUUUUUUCUUUUUUUUAAGAGCCUUUAACUUCCUCUCCCUUCCUUUUCCCUUCAUUUGUCAGCUGUGAGUAUUUUGGUUUGACUCAAGAGAAACAGACAGCUGGUGGAGCCCUCAUUGCUUCAAUAACACCAGGCUGUUUAUGUUCACACUUUCCCUCCGGCGAGGGGAGUUGGUGUUUAGGAAAGCAGCUUCAUGUUCUCAGUCUUUGUGCUUUGGGGCCUGGGCCAUGGUGGAAAUGAACUUCUCUGAGUUCAAGGUCAAAUUGCAUCAAGAUGGACUGAAGACAGGAAGCAGUAACUCAUGCAGGGGUUGGAGAGACCUGUACCAGUUAAAUUCUUGGUGCCACAGUGGUCUUUUGUCCUGGCACCUUGGGAUCACCAGCUGUGCAUUUUGGGGUGUGCCUGAUUCAAAGUCUUUUACUCUGCAUUUCCUGCUGGUCAUUGUUCUGCAACAGUGCAGGGGACUUGGGUUUGAUCCCUGGUCUGGGAAGAUUACACAUGCCAUGGAGCAACUGAUCUGCAACUACUCAGCCCGUGUGCUGCAACUAGCUACCGCGUGCCCUAGAACCAGUGCUCAGCAGCAAGAGAAGCCGCUGCAAUGAGAAGCCCGCACACUGCCACUUGAGAGUAGCCCCUGCUCGCCACAACUAGAGAAAACCCGCGGACAGCAAAGCACAGCAAGGAAGACCUAGCACA